rnacentral:rRNA from 1 species
CAGCAGCCGCCACGGUAAGACGGAGGGUGCUAGCGUUGUUCGGAAUCACUGGGCGUAAAGGGCGCGUAGGCGGCUUCUUAAGUCGGAUGUGAAAUCCCUGAGCUUAACUUAGGAAUUGCAUUCGAUACUGGGAAGCUAGAGUAUGGGAGAGGAUGGUAGAAUUCCAGGUGUAGCGGUGAAAUGCGUAGAGAUCUGGAGGAAUACCGAUGGCGAAGGCAGCCAUCUGGCCUAAUACUGACGCUGAGGUACGAAAGCAUGGGGAGCAAACAGGAUUAGAUACCCCAGUAGUCCCUGUCUCUUAUAC